GUCCAUGUAGCUCAGGGGAUAGAGCACGUGCCUUCUAAGCAUGUGGUCGGGGGUUCGAUUCCCUCCAUGGACGCCA
rnacentral:tRNA from 1 species